rnacentral:rRNA from 1 species
CCUACGGGCGGCAGCAGUGAGGAAUAUUGGUCAAUGGACGAGAGCCUGAACCAGCCAAGUAGCGUGAAGGAUGACUGCCCUAUGGGUUGUAAACUUCUUUUAUAUGGGAGUAAAAUGUUCCACGUGUGGGAUUUUGUAUGUACCAUAUGAAUAAGGAUCGGCUAACUCCGUGCCAGCAGCCGCGGUAAUACGGAGGAUCCGAGCGUUAUCCGGAUUUAUUGGGUUUAAAGGGAGCGUAGGGGGAUUGUUAAGUCAGUUGUGAAAGUUUGCGGCUCAACCGUAACAUUGCAGUUGAAACUGGCAGUCGUGAGUACAGUAGAGGUGGGCGGAAGUCGUGGUGUAGCGGUGAAAUGCUUAGAUAUCACGAAGAACUCCGAUGGCGAAGGCAGCUCACUGGCCCGCAACUGACACUGAGGCUCGAAAGUGUGGGUAUCAAACAGGAUUAGAUACCCGUGUAGUC